rnacentral:ncRNA from 1 species
GUUGGAGGACGACCUCCCUCACGGUGAGAACAAAAUCGGGACGGCCCGG